rnacentral:lncRNA from 1 species
UCCCAGAUUUGCCUGGUGUUUUCCUAUAAAACACCAGGCAAAGGCUAUAUAUAUAAUUUUUUUAUUUUAUUUCUGUGUUCACAAACAAAUCACAUACAAUAUACAUGACACAUAUUUGACAUCACAAACACAAUAUGGCACAUAUAUAUCACAUCAACCUAAUAUGUUCAUCGAACAUCGACAUGUCCAAACAUAACAUGUCCAUCAAACGAAACAUAUCUCACACAAGCAGAAUAUGUCCAAUAUACAUGUCCAUCAAGCGGCGAAAAGAGAAAGCAAACUAGAGGUUGACGGGAAACUAGUCGUCUGGUGAAGCAAUUUGCCUGGCAUGGCCUGACGAAGGCAUAGAUCGGUCGCCUGCUUGCAGUUGAGGUGGGUUAUUCGAACCCACGGUUGACUGAGACUGCAUAAAGGAGAAGAGGUUGCAUGUGUUAGAGUAGUCAUAUACUGAAAGCACUUGUCGAAGCCAACUUGGUUCAUAUGUACUCACAGGACUCGCAUGAGGACUGAACAAAGCCCCCCCCCCCCAUUUUGACUCUGGAGGAACGCCUUAAUUUCGGCCAGCUGCUUGGCAUGGUUUGCUACCUCCUCAUUUAGCCUCUUGUUCUCGGCCUGCAACAUUUGAAUCGAAUGUAUCAGUAAUGCAAAGGCAACUAAGCUAUGUCAAGAUCAAUGUACGACGAGUGCCACGGGACUAACCUCGAGUGCCACAAUCUUCUGCUGUGAAGGGGACGGCCGUUGGCGUAUGGCCGGGCCUCCGCUCGGGGUUUCAGCUCGGAUCUGGGAGAGGGAGGGAACCUGGGUGGAAUCGAGAACGCCAUCGUCAAGCCAGUACCGCCCAUGCUUCUUGCCUUGUCCAACUACUACUGGUGCUGCAGACAACAAACACACAAAACUACAACAAGCCGGAUGGGUUGGGGCUUCUGAAAUUUAUCUCGGCCAACAAAUGCACACACCCGACAGCGCCAAAGCAACGGCAAGGCAGGAAGCCGAGCUGCGCGGUCAGUGCUUAAAAUCUAUUAUUCAUCUUCACAUAUCAACAAACUUGGUAGAAAACCAUAAUCCUAUUUUAUUUCUUCAUGCCUCAACUUUCUAAAAACAUAUCAACAAAUUUAUUCAAUUAUUGGCUCACAGUCUCAUAGAGUCACAGAUCUGGGACAAAAUCAAAUCCCUAAACCAUAAAGCCAUAGCCAUCUGGGAGAGAUCUGGGACAAAAUCAAAUCCCUAAACCAUAAAGCCAUAGCCAUCUGGGAGAAAAAAAAUUUGAACUCACUAAUUCCAAUCGGAGAUGCUGGACGUGGAACUGGGCGACUGCGCCAUGGGCCGUGGCCGCUGUCCGCUGGCGCCUGGCGCCUGGCGGACUGCCGAGGCCCGCCCGACUGCUUGAGUCGAGUGCCGGCCGUCCGCCGUCGGGGGUCGAGCGAGCGGACACGCCUGGAGCACACGCCGUCGAAAUCUCCACGCCGUCGGGGGUCUGCUCGAGAAGCUGUGUGCCUGUGCCCUAUGCGCGUGCGGGAGUGGAAGGCAGGGCGAGACCACAGCGAGAUCUGGGCGAGUCCAGACCGCGGCGGCCGGCGGCUCCUCCUCGCGCAGUCGCCCUCGCAAGUCGCGACCUCGCGCGGUCCUCUCCUAGUCGCGUCGCGAGUGACGGGAUGACGGAGCCGGAGGAAGCGAACGGAAGCGUUGCGAGUCACGGGAUAACGGAUCCGGAGCCAAGUUUGUGUGGGCCAAGUACUAAAAGUUUUUUGCGGU